rnacentral:rRNA from 1 species
GACGAACGCUGGCGGCGUGCUUAACACAUGCAAGUCGAACGGAAAGGCCCUGCUUUUGUGGGGUGCUCGAGUGGCGAACGGGUGAGUAACACGUGAGUAACCUGCCCUUGACUUUGGGAUAACUUCAGGAAACUGGGGCUAAUACCGGAUAGGAGCUCCUGCUGCAUGGUGGGGGUUGGAAAGUUUCGGCGGUUGGGGAUGGACUCGCGGCUUAUCAGCUUGUUGGUGGGGUAGUGGCUUACCAAGGCUUUGACGGGUAGCCGGCCUGAGAGGGUGACCGGGAAACAGUGGGAAGGAGAGAGGCCCAGGACACAGGGGGGGGGAGGAAGGGGGAAAUAGGGAAAAGGGGGGGGAGGUUGGAAGCAGCAGCGCGGGGGGGGGGAGGAGGGCUUUGGGUUUAAAAACGGUUUGCGCCGGGGAAAAAGGGGGAGGAAGGAAAGGGGAAAAAAAAAACCGAAAAAACAAGGGC